ACGGAGGAUGCAAGCGUUAUCCGGAUUCACUGGGCUUAAAGGGCGCGUAGGCGGAAUGAUAAGUCAGCGGUGAAAUCCCACGGCUCAACUGUAGAACUGCCAUUGAUACUGUUGUUCUUGAGUACACUUGGAGUGGGCGGAAUGUGUCAUGUAGCGGUGAAAUUCUUAGAUAUGACACAGAACACCGAUCGCGAAGGCAUCUCACUAAGUUGUAACUGACGCUCAGGCACGAAAGCGUGGGGAUCAAACAG
rnacentral:rRNA from 1 species